rnacentral:lncRNA from 1 species
CCUCGCCCUGGUGGAGAGCAGCUCUGGAUCAAGAGGGGCUGAAGGAGGAGCCAGGACCAGCUCCCGUGGCUCAGAGCUGCUUCUGGCCUCAGCCAGUCCUCAGGAAGAAUGAAGAUGUUGACACAGGAGCCCAGGCCAUGGCUGGCCAUGCCCGUUGGGUGGCAGAGAGCUGGCCUGAGUGCCCCAACUCCCUGGCAUUCCUGAAUCCUGCUGCUGCCUGCUUUGCUCCCAAGAAGAGCACCUGCUGAUUCGCCUCAGCCUGUGGAGGGCAGGACCUCCCUUUCCCAGCCUGCUGGUGAGACAGGCCUGUAUUCAGAUGCUUCCUUGGCUGUUAGAAGCUGUGUGACCUGCAGCAAGCCCUUCCUCAGUCUCCACAGGUGGAGAGAGAGGAUGAGGCCAUACUCCCGUGGUGUUAUUGUGAGG